rnacentral:lncRNA from 1 species
UUUUUUCUGACCUCUUCUGGCUCUACAUGAUACAAGCUGUCAAUGACUGUGAUCUUGAACCUGUAGCAUAUGAGUUUUUCACCCUAUUGAUUACAUGCUUGAUAACGUGUUCAUGACGAUUACGGUUUUGUUGAUAUUAACUUUUUGUUGGAUUUGUUAUGUGCGCUCUGUGAAAUAUACGAAUUAUGUAGGGUUCCAUGGUGAUUCCGGCAAGAAGGAUCUUCCGAUAUGAUUUUUGAAUCAGCAGUUACGAGUCGAUUCUCCAAUAUAGGGGCUGCAGAGACCACUAGCGGCGUGAUUUGUGAACGUUUCGCGUGAAAGCAAGAUUUCUUUCAUCUAGGUUGUUGUCUGUUCGUUCUUUUCGAGCCACAAAUGUUUAGAGGUCAUGUAAGACUUGAUACUAUGACUCGUAUAAGUUGUCAACCAUGUGAGUACCCUUCUUAUAAAUGUUGAAUAAGUGGAUCUUAUCGAUCUGGUUAACGUGUAAUACCAUAAAAUAUUUCAAUUUUCAUGAGACAUAAAGAGGACUAAAAAUGACUAAAUUAUCCUUGCCAAUGUAAAGUGUGUUACCAGGUAACAUCUACAUACAGAAACGAGGAAGGAUGAUACGUAUUAUCAUAUAAAAGACGUUGUUGGGGACAAGAUGGCGUGGGACCCAUUCAGCCACCAAAUCUUGAUGUUCAAAAUGAUUAAAUGUGGCUCAAGAAGACAAGCCAGCUAGCAACACAGAACCUAAUCUAAAGUUGGACAAGGUAAUAGCUCAUAAACCAUGAUUUGAUCGUUCAUCUUUGUUAAAACGAGUUGUUUAAGUUUGACCCAAAAUAUUUUUUACCAUUUUUACAGUUCCUUCAUCUAUGUUGAAAUGGGCUGGUUUGGUUUGACCAAGAAUACUUUUGUCUAUUUUAAAAUUCUAAAAAUAAUCAACAAGCUAGAAUAGUUACAUUGAUAAUCUAUUUAAAUCAAUUCAGGAGUUUUGUAUGCAUUAAAGUUAUGUUUAGGCAAUUUUCUACAAGUUUGACCUUUAGGAAUAUUACAUGAUCUAGAUUAACCCUUCAUAAGUAAACUACUUCAAACUGUGAGCUCUAUUAUUUUUCUUCCUAAUGUUUGUUUUCUAGGUAAAAUGUUGGUGUAAAGCACUAGCAUAUUCACCUUGGUAGUAUUUUAAAUUGUAUUUACAACUUGCUGAGUGUACAUUAUAUUAGUCUAAUGAACUAGCAUAUUCACCUUGGCGGAUAGAAAAUAAUUUUUUGGUGUGAGAAAAUUUGUUAUUCUUUGGAAUUGUGGGGUUGUCAAAUGCUACUGUAAUAUGAGGAAAGGUCAAAUUGAAUGUGUGGAUAAUUGGAGUAUAGGUUAUGAUUGUAAAAACAUUUGGGUAUUUUAAUCAAGUGGAAAGAGGCCAUGGUAACAUGUUGUUUAGGAAACGUAAUAAGCAUUGUAUGAAUAUAAACCCCACACAUUGCCUCUAAAUGGUCUAAAGUUUUAAUUUACCAAUUGGAUAUUUUAGAAAAGAAACCAACAACAAAUGGAUUUUUACACGUUGCCUUUAUUAUUUAUGAAUUUGAGUUCACAAGCUUGCUCACAAACUGACAUAUAGCAUGUAAAUCCUUUUCUUGUAAAAAGUUUAGUAUAUAAUUAAAGGAUGCCACAUUUAUACGGACCUGAAGCAAAUAAAAAGGGGUUUGAAAGACGCGUUAAAUUAACGUUAAAAUAAAAUAAAUUUGCACUAACAUUUCGAAAAUACUUCAAGUUGAGAAACCUUAUUUUCUAAUUGGUAUUAUUCAUUACAAAUCGCUUUAUUAGAAAUUUCAGUCAUUAUUUAGAAACGUAGUUUUUACCAUUCUUAUUUAAUAAGUUUAUUAACAAUAAGGUGUCAAUGGCCAGUUGGCCUGGCCCGUUUGAACCCACACUAACUACACAGUUGGCCCGAAGUUGUUCUGACCCGGUAACCAAUCUGAACGAUCUAUCCCAACACCAAUAUGUAAUUUUUUUAAAGGAAAAUGAUUAAGAAUUGGUUAUUGGAAAAGCGGCAAAGGCUAUUGCGGAUGCUUCAGUUAGUGAGCAUAUUAGGACUUCGUUUAAGGAAGCGGGUGUCGUCAAGAAUCUUUUUCGGCUUCUGGAUUAUGACAGCGAACCCAUUCGAUUAGGCGUUGUUCGCGCUUUAGAAAGGCUUUCAGUUAGCAAUGAUGUUUGCCAGAAAAUUCAAGCUGAGGGUGUUUUGAAGCCGUUAAUAAGAUCACUGAAAAAUUCGGAUGCUUCAGAAAGUUCAACUCAUAUGAUCCUGAAUAUUCUUGGUCGGAUAUUAGAUCCCAGUAAAGAAAUGAAAUCAAAGGCCCUCACUUUGUAAGCGUCUUCGCCUAGGCGAUAAUCAUCUGAUAUGCAACUGCUAAAGGACCUGCUAAAGGAAAGACUUAAGGGCUGUUUUGCCUAAGAUGAAGAUGACGACCACGAGAACUAAAUGUGUGCAAGGCUGCUUAGCCUAAGAUGAAGUACCUAAUAGCAUAUAAGGUAUAUAUUACAUAGAGUGUCAGUGUCAAAAGUGAUUGAAGAAGUCAAAGCCGCCGCAAUCCGUUGGGUAAAAAAAAAUAGAUCGAAAUAAGUUGUAAUAGUUUUUUGGCUUUGUCUUGGUGCUUUAUUUUGGGUUUGUAUUGUACUAUGGCUAAUGGAUUGCCUCCAUGUACUGUAAUAUGUUUCUUUAUUGAGAAAUCUAUACAAUUGGUGCUUGCUACUCGCAAGAUU